rnacentral:tRNA from 1 species
GGAAGGAUGGUCCAGUGGUUAGGGCAUUCACCUGCCAUUUGGGAGACCUGGGCUCAAGUCCCAGCUCUACCA